AUGUGUUACCGGCUGGAAUGUGCAACCUGUAGAAAAUACACAUGGGGAGGAUGUGGUAAGCACUUGACCACACUCUAUGGGAGUAUUGAUGAAGGAAUGCAUUGCAUGUGCCGCUCAUGGCCUGGCGUAGUUAUACGCUCCCAGCAACGCACAAACACAACCAGUAACCAACCAUCAUCUUCCUCUAAUGGAAAUGAGGGUCCACAAAGCUCUUGA